rnacentral:lncRNA from 1 species
AGCCAGCCAUGUAAGGAGCUACCCUCAGUCUGGGAAGAAGUCUAGCAGGGAGAUUCCCAUAUCAAUGGCAUCUUGGGUAGUCACAUCCCCUAUGCUCAUAGGAUCUGCAUCACAGAGCUACAUGCAGUCAUCAGAUACACAGCAUGAGAACUACCUGUGAGGGCUUUCGUGAGGACCUUCCAGUCAGUCCAUUUAUUUGUUCUAUUUCACUGAUCUUCAGUUGCACCUCCUGCACUCUCAGAUGAACCCGAAGAUGACAUUUUUUGCACAGAGAACAACUGUGAUAAAAGUCCAUCUGUGACCUAAGAGAAGCACUGAGAACAACAAGGAGGUAGGAACAUCAAAACCUGUACUUGGCCAAUUUUGAGAAACAGAGGCUGAAACUGUGACAGUGGUCACCAUGCUGCAGGUGACCAACUCAGUUCUCAGGUCAUCAAGAGAAUGAAGACAUUGCAGCCAGGUUCCUAACUUGGGCCUAAGUACGAGUCACUAAAGGCACCUUGGUCAAGUUUCUAGUAUUGCCUUUGUGAUUAAAGUCAAGUCAUUUUGUGGCAAAUAAAGUCAGUAUCUGAAACCACU